AUGAUAACCUUGGCAGCACGGAUACUGGAAUUGGGACGAUGCAGAGGAGAUUAGCACGGCCCCUGUGCAGGGAUGACUGCAACUCUGAAGUAUUCCUUGUUUCC